AGUUGCGAUAAAUAACGAAGGUUUGCGAAGAAUAUCGCAGGAACCAGCAACGUGAUUACGAACACAUCCUGUUUCGUUAAACUUCGAAUAUUGAUGACGUUGUGGCGGUAUAUAUCGCAAACUUUGAUUACGAGCACACUUUUCAAGUGAUAUUUAUCGCACCGUAGCUACGUUAUAUAUCACGAGCAUUUCAACUGGUGAUACGAAGCGAAUGUGAGGUUCUACACAAUGGCCUUUGCUGCCUUUCUGCUAGCUAUCGAACUGGAGGAGAAGGCAGAGAAGAUUGUUAAGAAACCAUCAAAAUCCCUUCGAAUUGCCAGAUUGCACCCUCAUAGCAGUUGGAAAACCUUAGAAAAUGAAGAAACAUGAAGAAACGAGCUAUGCAAUUUAAUAAAUACUUUGUUAUCAAGUUUGUUGCAUUUAUUAAAGAAAUUGUGAAAAUAAGUGUUCACUCAUUUCCAUGUUUGUAUACAAAAAAUUAUUUCUUAACACAAUAUUUUCUCAUAAUUGGCAAUUUUAGCACAUGCCUCUAGCAUGCCUUUUAACUUUUCUAUAAGUUCUUUGAUGCAUUUUUAAUCAAAUUGCUGGUUACCAUUUCAGAAGCACAUAUUCCCAAUGCUUCUCAUCAGCUGCCAGCUGUCUUUCUUGAAUGUUGUUUAUCAGCUGCCAGCUAUCUUUCUUGAAUGCUGCUCAACUGAUCUUUUUUUUUAUUAUUUUUAAAUUGUACUAUUGAUCAUUACCAGUAUGAAUUGUAUAGGUUACACUAGGUAUCAUAGAGGCAGAGUUAUAAUAAAGGAGGUGCUAAUAACAAAGUACAGAUUCUAUAAAGUAUGCUGACUAAAAGAAUUAUCAAGGUUUUUCCAGUCAAAUAUUUCACAAUGCUUGUAUCUAACCAUUCUUUACUUUUUUUUGUGUAAACAAGAUAUAACAUGGAAGAAUUUCAUUAGACUAGCUGACUAUCAAUGCAAGUUCCAGCAGGUACAACUGCUUGUUGUUGCUAGUGAGCCCAUUUGUAUACAGUAUUGACAUUGUUUCAUGUGGACGAAUAUAAAAAAAAUAUUUUGAACUAAUUUUUAUUAUUGUAAGUUUAGAAUCAAUGUAGGUAUGUUUAUUGAGACUGAGACAAGUACAAACAAAUUAAAUGACACACAUUGCAUUUAGCUAGAUAAUUCAGGAACAAAUAUUGACUUACUUAGUAUGAUUCGUCGUGCGAUAAAGUUUGGUACAGCUCCAUUCCUUGCACCUCCCCAGUCAACACUCUGCAUCUUAUGAAUUUUUAUCAUCACUCACUGUUCUUAUCUUUCUAUUUAUCAUCAGAAUAACCAAUAACCAUUAAAUCUGUGCUUAGAUGUGUGUGAACAUUAAAAUAAGCAAUUUUUGAGCUAGUAUUUAGAGAUCAAAUCAUAUCUUUCUUAAAAUAUGUGAUGAAGCAUUUAAACAGCUUAUUUAACUAUAUUAAGUAAAAUUUAACUUAAAUAAAAGACUAAUACAGUAAAUUAAUAUGUAACUGAUUAUGACUGAUGGCCAUUAUAACAAAUAUGCAUAAAAAACUCUUAGGUUUCUUGGCUAUCUUAUGAAAAACAAGGAUUGUAAGAGGUCUUGUUUUAAUAAUGAACCUACCAGGGGUAUAUGCAGGGGCAAGAGGAAUAUAUGCCUCCCCCAAAAUUCUUAAAAGAAAAAUCUAUAUCCCCCCCCCCACCACCAAAAAAAAUAAAGCCAACAGGCUAAGUGCUUCUAUACCACUUUCCUCCUCCCCAUCCCCCUUCCUCCCUCAUAACAAAAUUAUGCAUACACUUCUGAGUAGAACAACUUUAAUUUUUUUUUUUAUAUGAACUAUUAACACUUCCAUGUUUAUGCAAGUCAUUUUUUUUGUGUUUCAUUUUAAAUGUAGCACACCUCCAAUUUCUCUCUGUCAACUUUCAGGUAUCUUAACUACUUAAUUUUCACCACUCUUAUUUUAAACCCACUACACCAAUCUCAAACAACAAAAUUGGAAGCAUACCAGUAUUGAAAAAAAUAUAUAUUUAAUUUUCAAAUAAAUAUUUGGAAAAGUAUAGGAUAAACAAAAUGCAUGACUAACACAAUAUAAUGUCUACCAGAGGUUGAGGGACAAAACCACCUUCUAGAAUCUACAUCAUUCCCAAUGAUGCUGUACCGAAUAUUUGGAUAAUUCACUGGUCAAGGCUGCUCAGAAAUAUAACUUGGAUAAUAUUGCCAGCUGUUAUCUUAGCAGCUAUUGCUUAAGCUGCUCUUUUUAUUGCAGCAUAUAUCAUGUUGAUCCAUUACUGAAUUUAAAAAAAAAUGGAUUAAAUAAUUGGAAUGCAUGUACAUGAGAAAUUGUUCAAACUGAAUAUUAUUUUACAUAUUAAACCAUCAAUUUCUAAACUUGCUGAGAAAAAGUAAUCUAUUAAUUUAUCUUAAUGGAAAAAAAAGGGGGAGGGGAGAAUUAAAAUUAUUGAAUAUUUCAAGACAGUUUUUAAAAUAAUUGCAGCAUAUUAAUAAUUUACAUACAUGUUGUAUCAUUAACCAACUUGAAUGCCAUCUUGAAAACAAAGUUGUUAACUCAGUACUUACUCUAAUUACUCAGUACUUAGUUUCACUUGUUUAAGUCAUUGGUGAGAUUAAAUUAAACAGCAAUUAAAAAAAAAACAUAGCAAUGAACUUUCAUAUCCUCAGAUUAUAAAAAAAAACUGUUCUUACACUGAAAAUUUUCAAGAACUGUUCCAUAAUAACUGUUUAAAAUGUCAAUCUUUUAAAAUUGAAACAUUAUGGGCCUAAUUUUAUCCUUAGAAUAUGCAACCCAAUACACUGAAGAGUUUAAAACAGACUUCAAAAAUGAAAAUACAAAAAGUAGCCCAUAUCUUCUCCAUUGUAAUUGAAGGCUGCUGCUUACAUAAAAAUUGUAAUGCUAUAUUCACUAAAGAAAAAAAAAAGAAAA